GACAGAGGAGGCAAGCGUUAUCCGGAAUUAUUGGGCGUAAAGCGUUCGUAGGUGGUUUGACAAGUCUGGGGUUAAAGCCCGGAGCCCAACUCCGGAUCGGCCCUGGAAACUGUCAGACUUGAGUAAGGGAGGGGUUGCGGGAAUUCCCGGUGUAGCGGUGAAAUGCGUAGAUAUCGGGAAGAACACCAGCGGCGAAAGCGCGCAACUGGGCCAUUACUGACACUGAGGGACGAAAGCUAGGGGAGCGAAUGCG
rnacentral:rRNA from 1 species